rnacentral:rRNA from 1 species
AGCGCAGCGGCGAGGAAGGAAGGGAGGAGGGCACGCGAGGGGGGGGGGUAAGUGGAACGGAGGGCAGCGGCGGACGCGAGGACGUUCGGCGGCGGCUGGAGGAAACAGCCAGUCAGCACGGGUUGCGGGAGGAGGAGGAAAGAGAGAAGGAGAGAGGCAGGGGCACGUCCUGCGGUACCGGUACCUGGUUUCGAGGCGGCCUGGAAGGUAGCGCUGACGGUUAGAAGGAGGACUGGUCUAGUGGCAGCGUUGACGACGCCAGGUCCGACCGGCGGCAGAAAACGCCCAAGCACCGGUGCAAAAGGAUGAUUUGGUACCGGCGGUGAAGGACGAUCUAAUCGCCUGUCCCUCUUCUUCCUUCUUCAACGUCAUUAGUCUUCACCGCUUGGUCCCUCCCCUGUGUCAUACUUAGCACUCUAUUUGAAGCUGACUUUUUUGUACUAAGAUUCCACUAUAUAUGAGCUCCCGUACUUCUGCUCAUAAAUUAUUAUGAGGUCACGAUAUGUGUGCUAGCACACGUCUGCUACACACGUGCUGUUCCGUUAGUCGAGGCAGGUAACGUACCGUUGUCGUCCGUCGUCCGGCGAUCUACACAUAGCACGUCACCAGCACGUGUGUAAACAGCAGACACUUCGUCAAGGCAGAAAAUAGUCGACAAUUAAUCAUGAUCCUAAGUAUACGUACAGAUGAUAAAAAGUCCUUUGAGUUCUGUACUACCAAGACAAAACCUGCCUUUUCUUUUCAUCCUGGUGACACAAUUGGGUUACGAAUCCACUAAUUGACGUCUAGUUUGUUAAAAAUAGUGGACGAAUGCGUCAUACCUUCACGUGUAACAAUAACAAUUAAUGUUUUAGGGGUCUCAGCGCCUCCACAAGAUCUGAUAAAGUAAUCAGGUAAAUCUCGUACAGUUUACCUCGUAGAAUAAAUCCCUAUUUUAGUUGAAAGGAGACUUCAGACAACGACCAUGGUGAGAAAAUAUACCACCAGACUUGAUCAGUGCGAGAACACUAUCUAAUGAUGUAGAUCGACUUCAAUUAUCGCGUUCCACGAACGAAUUCGACGGUCGUACAUUCUUUAUGAUUGUAUAAACAAUGGUAACAUUAUACUAUAGAGUUAAUACCACGCGCACACGCAUACGCACACGGGAACAUCGACCAGAUAAACGUUUACCUUGACGAGGUUUUUUAAGUUAAUCUCGAUCGACUAUCACUGUCUAUUGAUGUAGAUACACUUGGACGUAACAGGAUGUCAGUAUGUAUGAAACUCGAUCGACUAUCACUGUCUCAUGAUGUAGAUACACUUGGGCAUAAUAGGACAAUACGAAGAGAACUGGGAGAAACGAAACGUAAAGUUUUUAACUGGGACUUAAAGAUUUUUGUACGAAAGGAUGACCAUUUGACCAUUCGAUGUAUACAUCACAUGACCUUACCUAUCGUUAAUCCUAUCGUUUUCACCCCUUAGCCCUCAUGGAGUUUAGCCUUUAUUCGUGUUGUCUCACGGCUUCACCCCUUAUUUGUUGGUUGCAGCCGAACGUCAACGU